UUUUCGGCAACUUUUUUUAGGUCUACAGUUUUAAUUUUGGACUCAUGUACUAGGAAUAUCAUAUCUUUAGCAGAAUUGUGCCACUGAAUUAAAGGGAACUCUUUUUUUAGAUGCGCAUGAUGCAACUUCCUGGAUGGUGUGUAGGCUGUUUGUCAACAUGUGAAACCCACGUGUAUUUCAGGGAGUAGUCUCCCCUUUCAAAGAUCAAAAUUGGUGGAUAUAUAAUGCGGCAUGCAGUCUGGUCAUCAAUGGAGAGUUUCGACACCCGUAUACCCGUAUUUCUACCAAUCACCUCUGUAACCUUUGUUGUGUUCAUCAGACAGAUGAUGGACAACUCUACUUCCUUUUAAAACAGGUGCCCCUACAGAUUCAUAAAGUUCCAAUGUUGAGUUUCCAUGACCCCUAUUCAUCCAUGACAGGAAAAGGAAUAAAGUUGACAGGACUUUCCGCACUGUCCUUGGUAGCAGCUUAUGAUGGAACCAACAGCAGUGGACAUAGCGCGCUUCAUCAAAGGU